CAGUAGCCGCGGUAAUACGUAGGGUGCGAGCGUUAAUCGGAAUUACUGGGCGUAAAGCGUGCGCAGGCGAUUCGUUAAGACAGAUGUGAAAUCCCCGGGCUUAACCUGGGAACUGCAUUUGUGACUGGCGGGCUAGAGUAUGGCAGAGGGGGGUAGAAUUCCACGUGUAGCAGUGAAAUGCGUAGAGAUGUGGAGCAAUACCGAUGGCGAAGGCAGCCCCCUGGGCCAAUACUGACGCUCAUGCACGAGAGCGUGGGGAGCAAACAGGAUUAGAGACCCGAGUAGUCCCUGUCUCUUAUAC
rnacentral:rRNA from 1 species